rnacentral:rRNA from 1 species
GGACGGGUGAGUAACACGUGGAUAACCUACCUAUAAGACUGGGAUAACUUCGGGAAACCGGAGCUAAUACCGGAUAACAUAUUGAACCGCAUGGUUCAAUAGUGAAAGGCGGCUUUGCUGUCACUUAUAGAUGGAUCCGCGCCGUAUUAGCUAGUUGGUAAGGUAACGGCUUACCAAGGCAACGAUACGUAGCCGACCUGAGAGGGUGAUCGGCCACACUGGAACUGAGACACGGUCCAGACUCCUACGGGAGGCAGCAGUAGGGAAUCUUCCGCAAUGGGCGAAAGCCUGACGGAGCAACGCCGCGUGAGUGAUGAAGGUCUUCGGAUCGUAAAACUCUGUUAUCAGGGAAGAACAAAUGUGUAAGUAACUGUGCACAUCUUGACGGUACCUGAUCAGAAAGCCACGGCUAACUACGUGCCAGCAGCCGCGGUAAUACGUAGGUGGCAAGCGUUAUCCGGAAUUAUUGGGCGUAAAGCGCGCGUAGGCGGUUUUUUAAGUCUGAKGUGAAAGCCCACGGCUCAACCGUGGAGGGUCAUUGGAAACUGGAAAACUUUGAGUGCAGAAGAGGAAAGUGGAAUUCCAUGUGUAGCGGUGAAAUGCGCAGAGAUAUGGAGGAACACCAGUGGCGAAGGCGACUUUUCUGGUCUGUAACUGACGCUGAUGUGCGAAGCGUGGGGAUCAAACAGGAUUAGAUACCCUGGUAGUCCACGCCGUAAACGAUGAGUGCUAAGUGUUAGGGGGUUUCCGCCCCUUAGUGCUGCAGCUAACGCAUUAAGCACUCCGCCUGGGGAGUACGACCGCAAGGUUGAAACUCAAAGGAAUUGACGGGGACCCGCACAAGCGGUGGAGCAUGUGGUUUAAUUCGAAGCAACGCGAAGAACCUUACCAAAUCUUGACAUCCUUUGACCGCUCUAGAGAUAGAGUCUUCCCCUUCGGGGGACAAAGUGACAGGUGGUGCAUGGUUGUCGUCAGCUCGUGUCGUGAGAUGUUGGGUUAAGUCCCGCAACGAGCGCAACCCUUAAGCUUAGUUGCCAUCAUUAAGUUGGGCACUCUAAGUUGACUGCCGGUGACAAACCGGAGGAAGGUGGGGAUGACGUCAAAUCAUCAUGCCCCUUAUGAUUUGGGCUACACACGUGCUACAAUGGACAAUACAAAGGGCAGCUAAACCGCGAGGUCAAGCAAAUCCCAUAAAGUKGUUCUCAGUUCGGAUUGUAGUCUGCAACUCGACUACAUGAAGCUGGAAUCGCUAGUAAUCGUARAUCAGCAUGCUACGGKGAAUACGUUCCCNGGGUCUUGGACACACCGCCCGGUCACACCACGAAGAGUUUGUUAACCCCCGAAGCC